rnacentral:rRNA from 2 species
AAAUUGAAGAGUUUGAUCAUGGCUCAGAUUGAACGCUGGCGGCAGGCCUAACACAUGCAAGUCGAACGGUAACAGGAAGCAGCUUGCUGCUUUGCUGACGAGUGGCGGACGGGUGAGUAAUGUCUGGGAAACUGCCUGAUGGAGGGGGAUAACUACUGGAAACGGUGGCUAAUACCGCAUAACGUCGCAAGACCAAAGAGGGGGACCUUCGGGCCUCUUGCCAUCAGAUGUGCCCAGAUGGGAUUAGCUUGUUGGUGAGGUAACGGCUCACCAAGGCGACGAUCCCUAGCUGGUCUGAGAGGAUGACCAGCCACACUGGAACUGAGACACGGUCCAGACUCCUACGGGAGGCAGCAGUGGGGAAUAUUGCACAAUGGGCGCAAGCCUGAUGCAGCCAUGCCGCGUGUAUGAAGAAGGCCUUCGGGUUGUAAAGUACUUUCAGCGGGGAGGAAGGUGUUGCGGUUAAUAACCGCAGCAAUUGACGUUACCCGCAGAAGAAGCACCGGCUAACUCCGUGCCAGCAGCCGCGGUAAUACGGAGGGUGCAAGCGUUAAUCGGAAUUACUGGGCGUAAAGCGCACGCAGGCGGUCUGUCAAGUCGGAUGUGAAAUCCCCGGGCUCAACCUGGGAACUGCAUUCGAAACUGGCAGGCUUGAGUCUUGUAGAGGGGGGUAGAAUUCCAGGUGUAGCGGUGAAAUGCGUAGAGAUCUGGAGGAAUACCGGUGGCGAAGGCGGCCCCCU